UUCAUUCAAUUUUCGACUUAUUUUUGCAAUCUGGCAAAUGCAAAACCGGGAAAUCCCCCACAGAAUGCAGACUACAAUUGAACGAACAAGUAAACAACACAUGAAAGUUGAAACGUUGUUUUUUCAAUUUUUGAGAGUGCAAAAUUUAUAUUACUAGAAAUCAUUGAUCAAACUUACCAGGAAAUAGUUUGCGAUGCACUUCACAACCGACAUUCGACUCUUUUGGCAGUUGUCUCUGGAGAGACUUGUCAUUACUACCAUAGCAACACCAACCGAUCUAGCCGCAAAAAGAGGCGAACCCCAGUUUUGGAUGAAAAGCAUUUUAGCGAAACUUGGAGCGCGCAAAGUACGACAGAUAAUCAGUCAAGUAGAAAGUUGCGGUUGAACGAACAGCCACAAAAAAGGUGGCGAUAAGCAGCGGUCGGGCGUUAUACGAUGCAGACGAAUUUAUUGUAAAUAAACGAAAAAACCCUAGCGGUUGGCGGGGAAUUUUAUCCGAUUUUUCUUUUCUUUAUUCUUUUCUCGUGUAAUUUCUUCGUUGUUACUGUUAGUGACUAGCCAUUGGUCAUUACUCAUUACUCAGUGAGUUAUUAGUAGAUAUUAUUCAGUCUUAAUAGAUUCAAUAUUAAUUAUUC